GAUGAACGCUGGCAGCGUGCCUAAUACAUGCAAGUCGAGCGAACAGACGAGGAGCUUGCUCCUCUGACGUUAGCGGCGGACGGGUGAGUAACACGUGGAUAACCUACCUAUAAGACUGGGAUAACUUCGGGAAACCGGAGCUAAUACCGGAUAACAUGUUGAACCGCAUGGUUCAACAGUUAAUGACGGUCUUGCUGUCACUUAUAGAUGGUUCCGCGCCGCAUUAGCUAGUUGGUAAGGUAACGGCUUACCAAGGCAACGAUGCGUAGCCGACCUGAGAGGGUGAUCGGCCACACUGGAACUGAGACACGGUCCAGACUCCUACGGGAGGCAGCAGUAGGGAAUCUUCCGCAAUGGGCGAAAGCCUGACGGAGCAACACCGCGUGAGUGAAGAAGGUCUUCGGAUCGUAAAACUCUGUUAUUAGGGAAGAACAAAUGUGUAAGUAACUAUGCACGUCGUGACGGUACCUAAACAGAAAGCCACGGCUAACUACGUG
rnacentral:rRNA from 1 species